AUACAGUUUUCUCGCUGCCGCAAAAUCGGCAGCCGGGCGUAGGAACCCGAGUA
rfam:Cronobacter sakazakii ATCC BAA-894, complete genome.